ACACCCCUUUUUCAGAGUUCUUUCUUUUCCUUGCUUCGUCUUCAUUCUCCCUUACUUCGUCUUCAUCCUCCUGAUAAAUUGUAAUCUAUGUUGAGGUUUUCACCAGCGUUGAUUGGUGAGGCUCAACAUCACCAAUCAAAUAAAGAGAGAAAUUGGGACUCUAAAGAUUUUGAGGCAUCCUAAUGUUGGUUUGUGGUGCUCCCCCCCCACUCAACCAAACAAUUGAAAACUUGCAUGAAUGAGCAAAUUUCGAGCAAGGACGUAAUUGGUGAAUAAAAUCUGAAUUUCAUGGGAAGUUUUCAUCCAUAUGUUCAUCUAACAUGUAUCCGAUAACUCUAACUUGUUAUUGACAGUUUAACCAAGCUUCAAAUUGACAGACAUCGCGGAGCUCUGGCACAGAAUUACAAGAAUUAUGAUAUUCUCUUGCUCAUUGGCCUGGAAAUUGGUGCAACUCCAUUUAUCAGCAUUCUGAAGGAUUUUUUGAACAAUAUCAAAAAGAGUGGUGCAGUGGAUACCAAUAACUGAGGUGACAUAAUUUUCUUAUCUGGCCUUUGGGUGGCAUACAUUACAACGGUUUGAAAUCAAUGUAGGAAGGUUCAGCAUCAAAUGGAAAAGGAAAGGGUCUACUGAGUUACAAGAGAACAAGCCUCAUUUGAGUGGUUCAAAGGUGUCAUGAAUGAUGUUGCAGGGCAUGAUCAAAAUGUGGGUUGCAAAGUAGCUAUUUCAAGUGGCAUUUUUAUGCAUUUUUACUCUAUCGUUGUGUCUGUAAUUUCAAUUGCACAAAGACUUGUGUCAAAAUGCAGUCUCUAACAAUGUAAAUAUUUGAUGGUCUUAUGAACCACCUUGCUGUGUAACUCAUCACCUCAACUUGAAUGGGGUUUAUUUGAUAAA